GUAAAAAGUAGAAUAAUAGAUUUGAAAUAUUUAUUAUAUAGAUUUAAAGAGAUAAUCAUGGAGUAUAAUAAUUAAAUUUAAUAAAUUUAAUAUAACUAUUAAUAGAAUUAGGUUACUAAUAAAUUAAUAACAAUUAAUUUUAAAACCUAAAGGUAAACCUUUAUAUUAAUAAUGUUAUUUUUUAUUAUUUUUUAUAAUAAGAAUAAUUAUUAAUAAUAAUAAACUAAGUGAACUGAAACAUCUAAGUAACUUAAGGAUAAGAAAUCAACAGAGAUAUUAUGAGUAUUGGUGAGAGAAAAUAAUAAAGGUCUAAUAAGUAUUAUGUGAAAAAAAUGUAAGAAAAUAGGAUAACAAAUUCUAAGACUAAAUACUAUUAAUAAGUAUAGUAAGUACCGUAAGGGAAAGUAUGAAAAUGAUUAUUUUAUAAGCAAUCAUGAAUAUAUUAUAUUAUAUUAAUGAUGUACCUUUUGUAUAAUGGGUCAGCAAGUAAUUAAUAUUAGUAAAACAAUAAGUUAUAAAUAAAUAGAAUAAUAUAUAUAUAUAAAAAAAUAUAUUAAAAUAUUUAAUUAAUAUUAAUUGACCCGAAAGCAAACGAUCUAACUAUGAUAAGAUGGAUAAACGAUCGAACAGGUUGAUGUUGCAAUAUCAUCUGAUUAAUUGUGGUUAGUAGUGAAAGACAAAUCUGGUUUGCAGAUAGCUGGUUUUCUAUGAAAUAUAUGUAAGUAUAGCCUUUAUAAAUAAUAAUUAUUAUAUAAUAUUAUAUUAAUAUUAUAUAAAGAAUGGUACAGCAAUUAAUAUAUAUUAGGGAACUAUUAAAGUUUUAUUAAUAAUAUUAAAUCUCGAAAUAUUUAAUUAUAUAUAAUAAAGAGUCAGAUUAUGUGCGAUAAGGUAAAUAAUCUAAAGGGAAACAGCCCAGAUUAAGAUAUAAAGUUCCUAAUAAAUAAUAAGUGAAAUAAAUAUUAAAAUAUUAUAAUAUAAUCAGUUAAUGGGUUUGACAAUAACCAUUUUUUAAUGAACAUGUAACAAUGCACUGAUUUAUAAUAAAUAAAAAAAAUAAUAUUUAAAAUCAAAUAUAUAUAUAUUUGUUAAUAGAUAAUAUACGGAUCUUAAUAAUAAGAAUUAUUUAAUUCCUAAUAUGGAAUAUUAUAUUUUUAUAAUAAAAAUAUAAAUACUGAAUAUCUAAAUAUUAUUAUUACUUUUUUUUUUAAUAAUAAUAAUAUGGUAAUAGAACAUUUAAUGAUAAUAUAUAUUAGUUAUUAAUUAAUAUAUGUAUUAAUUAAAUAGAGAAUGCUGACAUGAGUAACGAAAAAAAGGUAUAAACCUUUUCACCUAAAACAUAAGGUUUAACUAUAAAAGUACGGCCCCUAAUUAAAUUAAUAAGAAUAUAAAUAUAUUUAAGAUGGGAUAAUCUAUAUUAAUAAAAAUUUAUCUUAAAAUAUAUAUAUUAUUAAUAAUUAUAUUAAUAAUAUAUAUAAUUAUAUUAUAUAUUUUUUUUAUAUAAUAUAAACUAAUAAAGAUCAGGAAAUAAUUAAUGUAUACCGUAAUGUAGACCGACUCAGGUAUGUAAGUAGAGAAUAUGAAGGUGAAUUAGAUAAUUAAAGGGAAGGAACUCGGCAAAGAUAGCUCAUAAGUUAGUCAAUAAAGAGUAAUAAGAACAAAGUUGUACAACUGUUUACUAAAAACACCGCACUUUGCAGAAACGAUAAGUUUAAGUAUAAGGUGUGAACUCUGCUCCAUGCUUAAUAUAUAAAUAAAAUUAUUUAACGAUAAUUUUAUUAAAUUUAGGUAAAUAGCAGCCUUAUUAUGAGGGUUAUAAUGUAGCGAAAUUCCUUGGCCUAUAAUUGAGGUCCCGCAUGAAUGACGUAAUGAUACAACAACUGUCUCCCCUUUAAGCUAAGUGAAAUUGAAAUCGUAGUGAAGAUGCUAUGUACCUUCAGCAAGACGGAAAGACCCUAUGCAGCUUUACUGUAAUUAGAUAGAUCGAAUUAUUGUUUAUUAUAUUCAGCAUAUUAAGUAAUCCUAUUAUUAGGUAAUCGUUUAGAUAUUAAUGAGAUACUUAUUAUAAUAUAAUGAUAAUUCUAAUCUUAUAAAUAAUUAUUAUUAUUAUUAUUAUUAAUAAUAAUAAUAUGCUUUCAAGCAUAGUGAUAAAACAUAUUUAUAUGAUAAUCACUUUACUUAAUAGAUAUAAUUCUUAAGUAAUAUAUAAUAUAUAUUAUAUAUAUAUUAUAUAUAAUAUAAGAGACAAUCUCUAAUUGGUAGUUUUGAUGGGGCGUCAUUAUCAGCAAAAGUAUCUGAAUAAGUCCAUAAAUAAAUAUAUAAAAUUAUUGAAUAAAAAAAUAAUAUAUAUUAUAUAUAUUAAUUAUAAAUUGAAAUAUGUUUAUAUAAAUUUAUAUUUAUUGAAUAUAUUUUAGUAAUAGAUAAAAAUAUGUACAGUAAAAUUGUAAGGAAAACAAUAAUAACUUUCUUAAAAAAUAAAAAUGGAAAGAAUUAAAUUAAUAUAAUGGUAUAACUGUGCGAUAAUUGUAACACAAACGAGUGAAACAAGUACGUAAGUAUGGCAUAAUGAACAAAUAACACUGAUUGUAAAGGUUAUUGAUAACGAAUAAAAGUUACGCUAGGGAUAACAGGGUAAUAUAGCGAAAGAGUAGAUAUUGUAAGCUAUGUUUGCCACCUCGAUGUCGACUCAACAUUUCCUCUUGGUUGUAAAAGCUAAGAAGGGUUUGACUGUUCGUCAAUUAAAAUGUUACGUGAGUUGGGUUAAAUACGAUGUGAAUCAGUAUGGUUCCUAUCUGCUGAAGGAAAUAUUAUCAAAUUAAAUCUCAUUAUUAGUACGCAAGGACCAUAAUGAAUCAACCCAUGGUGUAUCUAUUGAUAAUAAUAUAAUAUAUUUAAUAAAAAUAAUACUUUAUUAAUAUAUUAUCUAUAUUAGUUUAUAUUUUAAUUAUAUAUUAUCAUAGUAGAUAAGCUAAGUUGAUAAUAAAUAAAUAUUGAAUACAUAUUAAAUAUGAAGUUGUUUUAAUAAGAUAAUUAAUCUGAUAAUUUUAUACUAAAAUUAAUAAUUAUAGGUUUUAUAUAUUAUUUAUAAAUAAAUAUAUUAUAAUAAUAAUAAUUAUUAUUAUUAAUAAAAAAUAUUAAUUAUAAUAUUAAUAAAAUACUAAUUUAUCAGUUAUCUAUAUAAUAUCUAAUCUAUUAUUCUAUAUACU
rnacentral:rRNA from 1 species